GACGAACGCUGGCGGCGCGCCUAACACAUGCAAGUCGAACGAGCGAGAGAGAGCUUGCUUUCUCAAGCGAGUGGCGAACGGGUGAGUAACGCGUGAGGAACCUGCCUCAAAGAGGGGGACAACAGUUGGAAACGACUGCUAAUACCGCAUAAGCCCACGGCUCGGCAUCGAGCAGAGGGAAAAGGAGCAAUCCGCUUUGAGAUGGCCUCGCGUCCGAUUAGCUAGUUGGUGAGGUAACGGCCCACCAAGGCGACGAUCGGUAGCCGGACUGAGAGGUUGAACGGCCACAUUGGGACUGAGACACGGCCCAGACUCCUACGGGAGGCAGCAGUGGGGAAUAUUGCACAAUGGGGGAAACCCUGAUGCAGCGACGCCGCGUGGAGGAAGAAGGUCUUCGGAUUGUAAACUCCUGUUGUUGAGGAAGAUAAUGACGGUACUCAACAAGGAAGUGACGGCUAACAACGUGCCAGCAGCCGCGGUAAAACGUAGGUCACAAGCGUUGUCCGGAAUUACUGGGUGUAAAGGGAGCGCAGGCGGGAAGACAAGUUGGAAGUGAAAUCCAUGGGCUCAACCCAUGAACUGCUUUCAAAACUGUUUUUCUUGAGUAGUGCAGAGGUAGGCGGAAUUCCCGGUGUAGCGGUGGAAUGCGUAGAUAUCGGGAGGAACACCAGUGGCGAAGGCGGCCUACUGGGCACCAACUGACGCUGAGGCUCGAAA
rnacentral:rRNA from 1 species